ensembl:misc_RNA Y_RNA Y RNA
AGUUGGUCCAAAGGUUGUGGGUUAUUGUUAAGUGAUUUAACGUUGCCGCCCCUCCCCAACCACACUUGAGUAGCUUAAA